UGGGGAAUAUUGGACAAUGGGCGAAAGCCUGAUCCAGCCAUGCCGCGUGUGUGAAGAAGGUCUUCGGAUUGUAAAGCACUUUAAGUUGGGAGGAAGGGCAUUAACCUAAUACGUUAGUGUUUUGACGUUACCGACAGAAUAAGCACCGGCUAACUCUGUGCCAGCAGCCGCGGUAAUACAGAGGGUGCAAGCGUUAAUCGGAAUUACUGGGCGUAAAGCGCGCGUAGGUGGUUUGUUAAGUUGGAUGUCAAAUCCCCGGGCUCAACCUGGGAACUGCAUUCAAAACUGACUGACUAGAGUAUGGUAGAGGGUGGUGGAAUUUCCUGUGUAGCGGUGAAAUGCGUAGAUAUAGGAAGGAACACCAGUGGCGAAGGCGACCACCUGGACUAAUACUGACACUGAGGUGCGAAAGCGUGGGGAGCAAACA
rnacentral:rRNA from 1 species